UACGGAGGGUGCGAGCGUUGUCCGGAAUCACUGGGCGUAAAGGGCGCGUAGGCGGCCUGAUAAGUAGGGGGUGAAAUCCUGCGGCUUAACCGCAGGGCUGCCUUCUAAACUGUCAGGCUAGAGCACAGUAGAGGCAGGUGGAAUUCCCGGUGUAGCGGUGGAAUGCGUAGAUAUCGAGAGGAACACCAGUGGCGAAGGCGAGUCUCUGGACGACACCUGACACUGAGGCACGAAAGCUAGGGGAGCAAACAGG
rnacentral:rRNA from 1 species